GUUAGGGUUGGGGUUAAGACUAGGGUUAAAGUUAGGGUUGGGGUUAAGACUAGGGUUAAAGUUAGGGUUGGGGUUAAGACUAGGGUUAAGGUUAGGGUUGGGGUUGGGGUCAGUUUGAGUGUUUUCCUUCAUUGGACUGCCAAUGUGUUGCACCCCAAUAUGCCUUAGUAACGGCUGAGCACACAGGUCUUCCUCGGUACCAAUUUGUUUGUGGGUUCUGGAAGUAACGUGCCCGAGGGAAGGGGCCCAUUUCAUUGUCAAACAAUCACCCACGUGAAUCACCAGUUUUCCUGUCUGGUAACUCCUCUAACAUCAAAUAAACUUAUUUUCUAAAUACUUUGUCUCAUUUUCUAAAGUUCUAGACUCUACUGUUUAACUCAGUGAAUCAUUUGUUGGCUUUCAGUGAUGUGUAUAAAGGGUUCAUGUGUUCAUGUUUCUUGUGGAGGUUGUCAAGGCUGCUUUGUUAUAUCCCAGCAUCCUGUUCAACAGUGUUGUGCCUCACAUGCAGGUAUACGCAGUACGUGCAGAUCAGUGCUGGAAAAAAGACAAAACUCACAGUACUUUGUUUCAGAGGAAUGGAAAGCAAUGCUUGUCGUGAGAAAUUAAACCACAAGAGUGUAGACAAGGGUCUUCCAACUAUUGAAAAGGUCCCUUUGGUUUACUCUGUUUAAAUGUAGGACAAUACAACCAAACUGCACCCUCACAGAAUUGUAAUGCUUGUGUCGUCAGAAUUGUAACCACAAGAGUGCAGGUGGGACACACUUCCACCUAUUGAAAAAG
ensembl:lncRNA